UACGUAGGGAACGAGCGUUGUCCGGAUUCAUUGGGCGUAAAGAGCUCGUAGGCGGCUUGGUAAGUCGGAUGUGAAACCUCCAGGCUCAACCUGGAGUCGCCAUCCGAUACUGCCAUGGCUAGAGUCCGGUAGGGGCCCACGGAAUUCCUGGUGUAGCGGUGAAAUGCGCAGAUAUUAGGAGGAACACCGAUGGCGAAGGCAGUGGGCUGGGCCGGCACUGACGCUGAGGAGCGAAAGCGUGGGGAGCGAACAGG
rnacentral:rRNA from 1 species